UUUUAAAUAGCUUAAGGGAGAGUUUUAUAUUGAAGAUAUAAAGGUAAUAAUUAUUAUUUUUAAAUA
rnacentral:tRNA from 1 species